rnacentral:rRNA from 1 species
GACGAACGCUGACGGCGUGCCUAAUACAUGCAAGUAGAACGCACAGUUUAUACCGUAGCUUGCUACACCAUAAACUGUGAGUUGCGAACGGGUGAGUAACGCGUAGGUAACCUGCCUGGUAGCGGGGGAUAACUAUUGGAAACGAUAGCUAAUACCGCAUAAUAUUGAUUAUUGCAUGAUAAUUGAUUGAAAGAUGCUAUUGCAUCACUACCAGAUGGACCUGCGUUGUAUUAGCUAGUAGGUGAGGUAACGGCUCACCUAGGCGACGAUACAUAGCCGACCUGAGAGGGUGAUCGGCCACACUGGGACUGAGACACGGCCCAGACUCCUACGGGAGGCAGCAGUAGGGAAUCUUCGGCAAUAGACGAAAGUCUGACCGAGCAACGCCGCGUGAGUGAAGAAGGUUUUCGGAUCGUAAAGCUCUGUUGUAAGAGAAGAACGGGUGUGAGAGUGGAAAGUUCACACUGUGACGGUAUCUUACCAGAAAGGGACGGCUAACUACGUG